UACCAGCACCCCGAGUGGUCGGGACGAUUAUUGGGCCUAAAGCAUCCGUAGCCGGUCCUGCAAGUCUUCCGUUAAAUCCAGCUGCUCAACAGAUGGGCUGCGGGAGAUACUACAGGGCUAGGAGGCGGGAGAGGCAAGCGGUACUUUAUGGGUAGGGGUAAAAUCCGCUGAUCCAUAGAAGACCACCAGUGGCGAAGGCGGCUUGCCAGAACGCGCUCGACGGUGAGGGAUGAAAGCUGGGGAGCAA
rnacentral:rRNA from 1 species